rnacentral:lncRNA from 1 species
GAGAGAGAGAGAGAGAGAGAGUGAGGCUACUAUGCUAUCGAAAGUACGGAGCCUUCCGUGCUUUCAGCUCGGCUCCGUUAAACUUGAUCUAGAUAUUUGAAGUAUCUAGAAAAUAAAUUUUAUGAUUUUACGAUAUCAUUUGCCUAGUGAACGAAGGGCUCAAAAUCAACGGCUGAAAAUAAAAAUCUUACAAAAUGUAAUAAUAUAACAUUAAAAUUUUAAAUCAAAGAUAUUGAUCUUGUUUUAUAUAGUAUAAAAAAUUUUUUAUCAAAAUUUCACGUGAUUUGGAUAUUUCUACACCGUUAAACUUGCAAACGGCUUACUACGGCCAUUGAAAUUUGUUGAUUUUGAGCUCAUUCGAUCACUAGGCAAAUGAUAUCGAAAAAUAAUAAAAUUUAUUUUCUAGGUACUCCAAAU